AUAGGCUAGCAGUCAUUUACUUGUGUGUAUUAAGAUAGUAAAUGUCUACAAUCUAUCAGGAUAUAAUUAUAGUAUACUAUAUUAUUAUGUUGGGUAGAAUUAAUCAUGAUUCAGAGUCAAGUCGUGGCUGUUUGUUCAUGUCUACUAAAUCUAAUGGAGUUUUUCGUAUGUACUUUCGUUUCUUUCGCUUAAAUUGUGAUGUCUCGUCUAUUCUCGCUUCAGCUUUCAGAACCUCCCCCACUGGGUCAUGCAGAUUACUGGAGAAGUAGUGUCUCUUGGCGUCAUCAUUAUUUUUCUCCACCCCUAGAGAAAAAGUAGGUCAGCAAACCUCACUGGGAGACGUUCCAGAAACUUCUUGGUGUCGUUCCCCUGCAGUGAUGUCCAUUCGUAAUGUCCAGAAGCUUUGCCAUCUGGACCCCUUGCUUCCCAUACCCUGAACGUGAUACCACAGUCUUUAACGAUCGUCUGUAGUGUUUGUAGG